rnacentral:rRNA from 1 species
UUCCGGUUGAUCCUGCCGGAGACUACCGCUAUCGGAGUCCGAUUUAGCCAUGCUAGUCCACCGAGUCCUUGACUCGGGGCGGAAAGCUGAGUAACACGUGGCCAACCUGCCCUGUGGACGGAGAUAACCCCGGGAAACUGAGGAUAAUACUCGAUAGCAGAACCAUGCUGGAAACGCGGGUUCUGUGAAAUGUUUCGACGCCACAGGAUGGGGCCGCGGCUGAUUAGGUCGUUGGUGAGGUAACGGCUCACCAAGCCAGUAAUCAGUAGCAGCCGUGGGAGCGGUAGCUGCCAGUCGUGUUCUGAGACAAGAACACGGGCCCUACGGGGCGCAGCAGGCACGAAACCUUUACAAUGCACGCGAGUGCGAUAGGGGGACUCCGAGUGCGUUCUUCCCACAAGGAAGGACGCUUUUCUGCACUGUAAGGAGGUGCAGGAACAAGGGGUGGGCAAGACUGCUGCCAGCCGCCGCGGU